rnacentral:rRNA from 1 species
UGACGAGUUUGAUCCUGGCUCAGAUUGAACGCUGGCGGAAUGCUUUACACAUGCAAGCCGAACGGUAGAGGGGGCAACCCCUUGAGAGUGGCGAACGGGUGAGUAAUAUAUCGGAACGUGCCCAGUCGUGGGGGAUAACGUAGUGAAAAUUACGCUAAUACCGCAUACGAUCUAUGGAUGAAAGCGGGGGAUCGCAAGACCUCGCGCGAUUGGAGCGGCCUAUAUCAGAUUAGGUAGUUGGUGGGGUAAAGGCUCACCAAGCCAACGAUCUGUAGCUGGUCUGAGAGGUCAAUCCCCUACACUGGCACUGAGAUACGGGGCCAGACUCCUACGGGAGGCAGCAGUGGGGAAUUUUGGACAAUGGACGCAAGUCUGAUCCAGCCCAUUCCCGCGUACAGGACGAAGGCCUUACGGGUUGUAAACUGCGUUUUGUACGGAGCGAAAACGGCUCUCUCUAAGUACAGGGGGUCUCAGUGACGGUACCGUAAGAAUAACGCACCGGUCUAACGUACGUG